GACGAACGCUGGCGGCGUGCUUAACACAUGCAAGUCGAACGGAAAGGCCCUGCUUUUGUGGGGUGCUCGAGUGGCGAACGGGUGAGUAACACGUGAGUAACCUGCCCUUGACUUUGGGAUAACUUCAGGAAACUGGGGCUAAUACCGGAUAGGAGCUCCUGCUGCAUGGUGGGGGUUGGAAAGUUUCGGCGGUUGGGGAUGGACUCGCGGCUUAUCAGCUUGUUGGUGGGGUAGUGGCUUACCAAGGCUUUGACGGGUAGCCGGCCUGAGAGGGUGACCGGCCACAAUGGGACUGGGAGACGGCCCAGAAUCCUAAGGGAGGGAGCAGGGGGGAAUAUUGCCCAAUGGGGGGAAGCCUGAGGCAGGAACGCCGCGUGGGGGAUGACGGCCUUUGGGUUGUAAACCGCUUUCGCCUGUGACGAAGCGUGAGUGACGGGAAUGGGUAAAGAAGCACCGGCUAACUACGUG
rnacentral:rRNA from 1 species